rnacentral:tRNA from 1 species
AUCGCGGGGUGGAGCAGUCGGUAGCUCGUCGGGCUCAUAACCCGAAGGUCACAGGUUCAAGUCCUGUCCCCGCAACCA